GACGUAGGGGGCCAGCGUUGCUCGGAAUUACUGGGCGUAAAGGGUCCGUAGGCGGUGCGGUAAGUCGGGAGUGAAAUCUCUGGGCUUAACUCAGAGGCUGCUUCCGAAACUACCGUGCUAGAGUGCGAGAGAGGCAAGUGGAAUUGCGGGUGUAGCGGUGAAAUGCGCAGAUAUCAGGAAGAACACCCGUGGCUAAGGCGGCUCUCUAGUACGGUACUGACGCUGAGACGCGAAAGCGUGGGGAGCGAACAGG
rnacentral:rRNA from 1 species